rnacentral:tRNA from 1 species
GGUUCGUUAGCGCAGUUGGAUAGCGCACCGGCCUGUCACGCCGGGGGCCGCGGGUUCGAGUCCCGCACGGACCGCCA